rnacentral:rRNA from 1 species
UACACUCCUGCGGGAGGCAGCAGUGGGGAAUAUUGGCCAAUGGGCGCAAGCCUGAUCCAGCCAUGCCGCGUGAGUGAUGAAGGCCCUAGGGUUGUAAAGCUCUUUCACCGGUGAAGAUAAUGACGGUAACCGGAGAAGAAGCCCCGACUAACUUCGUGCCAGCAGCCGCGGUAAUACGAAGGGGGCUAGCGUUGUUCGGAUUUACUGGGCGUAAAGCGCACGUAGGCGGACUAUUAAGUCAGGGGUGAAAUCCCGGGGCUCAACCCCGGAACUGCCUUUGAUACUGGUAGUCUUGAGUUCGAGAGAGGUGAGUGGAAUUCCGAGUGUAGAGGUGAAAUUCGUAGAUAUUCGGAGGAACACCAGUGGCGAAGGCGGCUCACUGGCUCGAUACUGACGCUGAGGUGCGAAAGCGUGGGGAGCAAACAGGAUUAGAUACCCCGGUAGUCCCAU